GACGAACGCUGGCGGCGUGCUUAACACAUGCAAGUCGAACGGAAAGGCCUCUUUCGGGGGGUACUCGAGUGGCGAACGGGUGAGUAACACGUGAGUAACCUGCCCUUGACUUUGGGAUAACUUCAGGAAACUGGGGCUAAUACCGGAUAGGAGCUCCUGCUGCAUGGUGGGGGUUGGAAAGUUUCGGCGGGUGGGGAUGGACUCGCGGCUUAUCAGCUUGUUGGUGGGGUAGUGGCUUACCAAGGCUUUGACGGGUAUCCGGCCUGAGAGGGUGACCGGCCACAUUGGGACUGAGAUACGGCCCAGACUCCUACGGGAGGCAGCAGUGGGGAAUAUUGCACAAUGGGUGGAAGCCUGAUGCAGCAACGCCGUGUGCGGGAUGACGGCCUUCGGGUUGUAAACCGCUUUCGCUCAUGACGAAGCUUUGUGUGACGGUAGUGGGUAAAGAAGCACCGGCUAACUACGUG
rnacentral:rRNA from 1 species